rnacentral:tRNA from 1 species
CGCGGGGUGGAGCAGCCUGGUAGCUCGUCGGGCUCAUAACCCGAAGGUCGUCGGUCGUCGGUUCAAAUCCGGCCCCCGCAACCA